rnacentral:tRNA from 1 species
GCCUUCGUGGCCUAACGGAUAAGGCGUCGGCCUCCUAAGCCGAAGAUUGCAGGUUCGAAUCCCGUCGGAGGUA